rnacentral:lncRNA from 1 species
GACUGGCGGUGGAGGAGAGAAUACUGGAGCAGGUGGAGGUGAAGCUACAGGUGGCGGUGGUGAGGCGACUGGUGGUGGAGGUGAGGCUACCGGUGGCGGUGGUGAGUGGACUGGAGGUGGAGGUGAGGCAACAGGUGGUGGUGGUGAGUGGACUGGUGGUGGAGGUGAUGCUACCGGUGGUGGUGGUGAGUGGACGGGAGGUGGAGGUGAGGCAACCGGUGGUGGUGGUGAGUGGACAGGAGGUGGAGGUGAUUGAACUGGUGGUGGUGGUGAGUGGACCGGUGGUG